UACGAAGGGAGCUAGCGUUGUUCGGAAUCACUGGGCGUAAAGCGCACGUAGGCGGAUGUGUCAGUCAGGGGUGAAAUCCCGGAGCUCAACUUCGGAACUGCCUCUGAUACAGCACGUCUUGGAGUCCGAUAGAGGUGGGUGGAAAUUCCUAGUGUAGAGGUGAAAUUCGUAGAUAUUAGGAAGAACGACCGGUGGCGAAGGCGGCCCAAC
rnacentral:rRNA from 1 species